rnacentral:rRNA from 1 species
UGGGGAAUAUUGGACAAUGGGGGGAACCCUGAUCCAGCGACGCCGCGUGAGUGAAGAAGUAUUUCGGUAUGUAAAGCUCUAUCAGCAGGGAAGAAAAUGACGGUACCUGACUAAGAAGCCCCGGCUAACUACGUGCCAGCAGCCGCGGUAAUACGUAGGGGGCAAGCGUUAUCCGGAUUUACUGGGUGUAAAGGGAGCGCAGACGGCUUGGCAAGUCUGAAGUGAAAGCCCGGGGCUUAACCCCGGGACUGCUUUGGAAACUGUGAAGCUAGAGUGUCGGAGAGGUAAGUGGAAUUCCCAGUGUAGCGGUGAAAUGCGUAGAUAUUGGGAGGAACACCGGUGGCGAAGGCGGCUUACUGGACGAUAACUGACGUUGAGGCUCGAAGGCGUGGGGAGCAAACAGGAUUAGACACCCUGGUAGUCCACGCGGUAAACGAUGAAUACUAGGUGUCGGGGGACAUAGUCUUUCGGUGCCGCCGCUAACGCAUUAAGUAUUCCACCUGGGGAGUACGUUCGCAAGAAUG